UGGUACCUUGUACAUCAU
rnacentral:snRNA from 1 species